rnacentral:rRNA from 1 species
AUACGUAGGGGGCAAGCGUUGUCCGGAAUUAUUGGGCGUAAAGGGUGCGUAGGCGGCCCUGCAAGUUGGAUGUGAAAUACCCGUGCUUAACAUGGGAACUGCAUCCAAAACUGUGGGGCUUGAGUGUGGAAGAGGUAAGUGGAAUUCCCAGUGUAGCGGUGAAAUGCGUAGAUAUUGGGAGGAACACCAGUGGCGAAGGCGACUUACUGGGCCACAACUGACGCUGAGGCUCGAAAGCGUGGGGAGC